GGUAGGGUGGCCGAGUGGUUAAUGGCAACGGUCUGUAAAACCGUCGUCCGAAAGGACUACGCUGGUUCGAAUCCAGCCCCUACCA
rnacentral:tRNA from 1 species